rnacentral:rRNA from 1 species
UAGGGAAUCUUCCGCAAUGGACGAAAGUCUGACGGAGCAACGCCGCGUGAGUGAAGAAGGAUUUCGGUUCGUAAAACUCUGUUGUUAGGGAAGAAAAAAUGUAUAGUAACUAUAUACAAAAGAGACGGUACCUAACCAGAAAGCCACGGCUAACUACGUGCCAGCAGCCGCGGUAAUACGUAGGUGGCAAGCGUUGUCCGGAACUAUUGGGCGUAAAGCGCGCGCAGGUGGUUUAGAAAGUCUGAUGUGAAAGCCCACGGCUCAACCGUGGAGGGUCAUUGGAAACUAAUAAACUUGAGUGCAGGAGAGAAAAGUGGAAUUCCUAGUGUAGCGGUGAAAUGCGUAGAGAUUAGGAGGAACACCGGUGGCGAAGGCGACUUUCUGGACUUUUACUGACGCUCAGGUACGAAAGCGUGGGGAGCAAACAGG